UACGAAGGGGGCUAGCGUUGUUCGGAAUUACUGGGCGUAAAGCGCACGUAGGCGGAUUGUUAAGUUAGAGGUGAAAGCCCAGGGCUCAACCCUGGAAAUGCCUUUGAUACUGGCAGUCUUGAGAUCGGUAGAGGUGAGUGGAAUUCCUAGUGUAGAGGUGAAAUUCGUAGAUAUUAGGAAGAACACCAGUGGCGAAGGCGGCUCACUGGACCGAUUCUGACGCUGAGGUGCGAAAGCGUGGGGAGCAAACAGG
rnacentral:rRNA from 1 species